rnacentral:rRNA from 1 species
AUUGAACGCUGGCGGCAUGCUUUACACAUGCAAGUCGAACGGUAACAGGCCGCAAGGUGCUGACGAGUGGCGAACGGGUGAGUAAUGCAUCGGAACGUGCCCAGUCGUGGGGGAUAACGCAGCGAAAGCCGCGCUAAUACCGCAUACGAGCUCUGGAUGAAAGCGGGGGACCGAAAGGCCUCGCGCGAUUGGAGCGGCCGAUGUCAGAUUAGGUAGUUGGUGGGGUAAAGGCCCACCAAGCCAACGAUCUGUAGCUGGUCUGAGAGGACGACCAGCCACACUGGGACUGAGACACGGCCCAGACUCCUACGGGAGGCAGCAGUGGGGAAUUUUGGACAAUGGGCGCAAGCCUGAUCCAGCAAUGCCGCGUGCAGGAAGAAGGCCUUCGGGUUGUAAACUGCUUUUGUACGGAACGAAACGGUCCUGGUUAAUACCUGGGGCUAAUGACGGUACCGUAAGAAUAAGCACCGGCUAACUACGUGCCAGCCGCCGCCGUAACAC